GAGCGAACGCUGGCGGCGUGCUUAACACAUGCAAGUCGGGCGCGAAAGGGCUUUCUGGUUCUGAGUAGCGCGGCGCACGGGUGCGUAAGACGCGGGUGACCUAUCCGUGAGGCGGGGAUACCCUCUCGAAAGAGGGUUAAUACCGGAUGAGCCCACAGGCAGAGAUGCUUGGGGCAAAGGAUGCAGUUUACUAGCUGCAUGUCUUCACGGCGGGGCCCA
rnacentral:rRNA from 1 species